UACGGAGGUGGCAAGCGUUGUCCGGAUUUACUGGGUGUAAAGGGCGUGUAGCCGGGCUGACAAGUCAGAUGUGAAAUCCGGGGGCUCAACCCCCGAACUGCAUUUGAAACUGUUGGUCUUGAGUAUCGGAGAGGCAGGCGGAAUUCCUAGUGUAGCGGUGAAAUGCGUAGAGAUAUGGAGGAACACCAGUGGCGAAGGCGGCUUCCUGGUCUGCAACUGACACUGAGGCGCGAAAGCGUGGGGAGCAAACAGG
rnacentral:rRNA from 1 species